GUCGUAACAAGGUUUCCGUAGGUGAACCUGCGGAGGGAUCAUUACAAGUGACCCCGGUCUAACCACCGGGAUGUUCAUAACCCUUUGUUGUCCGACUCUGUUGCCUCCGGGGCGACCCUGCCUUCGGGCGGGGGCUCCGGGUGGACACUUCAAACUCUUGCGUAACUUUGCAGUCUGAGUAAACUUAAUUAAUAAAUUAAAACUUUUAACAACGGAUCUCUUGGUUCUGGCAUCGAUGAAGAACGCAGCGAAAUGCGAUAAGUAAUGUGAAUUGCAGAAUUCAGUGAAUCAUCGAAUCUUUGAACGCACAUUGCGCCCCCUGGUAUUCCGGGGGGCAUGCCUGUUCGAGCGUCAUUUCACCACUCAAGCCUCGCUUGGUAUUGGGCAACGCGGUCCGCCGCGUGCCUCAAAUCGACCGGCUGGGUCUUCUGUCCCCUAAGCGUUGUGGAAACUAUUCGCUAAAGGGUGUUCGGGAGGCUACGCCGUAAAACAACCCCAUUUCUAAGGUUGACCUCGGAUCAGGUAGGGAUACCCGCUGAACUUAAGCAUAUCAAUAAGCGGAGGA
rnacentral:rRNA from 1 species